rnacentral:ncRNA from 1 species
UGAAUAAUAGAAAUCGGGAAGAGUAUGCAGAUAUUUAUUUUAUAGAGAGUACAUGGUUGGUGAGAAUGUAUAAUAAUACUGCUGAAGGUAGCCCGCUAGAAUCUUUAUUUGAAACAAAGUAGGAUAAAGCGUAAUUGAGCGUUAAUCAAUAUAAGUGCUUCAUAGCAGAUGCUAUGUUGAAUUUAGGUGGUACCACGGAACAUCCGUCCUAUGU